GCGCAGGUGGCAGAGUGGUCAAUUGCAUCGCGCUGUAGACGCGACGCCCUUUGGGCUCCGGGGGUUCGAAUCCCUCCCUGCGCA
rnacentral:tRNA from 3 species